ensembl:lncRNA
CUCCUGGUAAGUUAUCUUCCUGUCUUUAUUUCAACCUACCAUCUUUUUGACCUUAUUUUCUUCCACUGUCAAAUGCAGGAAUGAGACUGAAGCUGAAUAGGCACCUGGCAGCCAAUCAAGAUCAACCCAUCACAAUGGCUUGAAACCCUAAGUCUUACUCAACUCAGUAGGAAGAGGCAGUUACCAAGAAUUCUUCUUCAAUCAGAGGCUGUAUCUUUCUCCACUAGGUACAGCUGAAAUUACUUCAUCUCAUGACCAAACUACAAGAACAUGUCUUUUGCUGAAACAAACAAAAACAAAAACAUUCUGUAUGAUAUAAUAGAUGGCAUAUUCCACUAAACAUGAUGGAAAGCAUUCUGCUUUGUGUCGUGGACUCUUCCAUUGAAUUGUGGUCCCUCUUGUAGACAAAUAAACUGCUCAAAAUUGUAAAGCA